CCAAUCCAAAUCUAUCUCGAAUCAUUGUAUCUGAGGUCAUCUUCAAUUUGCUCAUUGAAAUUAGUAACUGCAACGAGAAUGGCAAAGAGCGGCCGGACCAACAGCGAGCAAAAACUUUCUGUUGAUAUUGGAGGACAUAGACAACCUGGUUUGGAGAUGCAAAACAUGCGCGGUCCCAUGGCAGGUGGCUCCUGAUCAGAGACGGAUGAUUACUCUUCAGGCACCCUCAUAGGCUGGUCGAAGUCCACCGAUGUUAGCUUGGGCUAGUUGAGCCCAAGCAAUCCCCAAUAAGUCACCUAGGUAGAAAUUUCAGUGGUCCGAUGGAAGGCUGGUCUAUUUCAGCUUUGCUCGGCCAUCAUAUGGCGAAAGUUGAGUCAAUAUUAAUUUUUAAAAAAUUCAUUUUUCUUGAUGAUGAUCUUUCUAUCCAAGUCUCCCCCUCCCUGUACCGGCAACUUAGUGUAUGGUCCAUCUGCUGCUGAUGCUUCCUCACCUGCAAUUAAGAGAGAUCUUCACACUGAAUUAAACUUAGCAGCUAUUGAAAUGACGAUCAACAACGUCAAAGCCAGAGAACCAAUUCAUGAAGGAGGGGCUUUAUUUCUUUUACACCAGCAAUGCCUAUUAUGUAGUUUUUGAGAAGCAACCGUAUCCAAAUGUAUGCUGCAUCUGCAAUUGCACUAUUGAGCAUCUUAUCGACGAAAUAAAUGACUUCUGAGACGCCCGAAUGCAAUUUUCUAGUACAUAAAAUUGGUGGAAGCAUGCACCAAUGAUAUUCUUCUCCGCUGUUGUUGGAACCAUAAUCUAAAUUAUGGAUUGAUAUUUACCUUCUCUUUUCAUUAAAACUUAUGUUCAGUA